rnacentral:snoRNA from 1 species
GGCCUUUAAUGAUGAUAUACUUUCCACUUUACUAAUUAGUAUUAGAAAACUCAUGUUACUUUCACGUGUUUAAUAGCAUGCAAGAAGAUUUAUAUCUCAAUAGGCU